AUGAACGCUAGCGACAGGCCUAACACAUGCAAGUCGAGGGGCAGCACAAGGAGCAAUCUGAGGUGGCGACCGGCGCACGGGUGAGUAACACGUAUGCAACCUGCCUGUAAGCGGGGAAUAACCCGUUGAAAGACGGACUAAUACCGCAUAAUACUAAAUUACUGCAUGGUAAUUUAUUUAAACAUUUAUGGCUUACAGAUGGGCAUGCGCAUGAUUAGCUAGUUGGAGAGGUAACGGCUCCCCAAGGCAACGAUCAUUAGGGGUUCUGAGAGGAAGGUCCCCCACACUGGUACUGAGACACGGACCAGACUCCUACGGGAGGCAGCAGUGAGGAAUAUUGGUCAAUGGACGAGAGUCUGAACCAGCCAAGUCGCGUGCAGGAAGAAUGUCCCUAUGGAUUGUAAACUGCUUUUGCAGGGGAAUAAAGUGCAUCACGUGUGAUGUUUUGUAUGUACUCUGCGAAUAAGGAUCGGCUAACUCCGUGCCAGCAGCUGC
rnacentral:rRNA from 1 species